rnacentral:lncRNA from 1 species
GUUUCCGCUGUUUCCGUUGUUUCCGUUGUUGUUCUUGACCUGUCACCUAAUUUUCUGCCUUAUAUUUCUGUCUCUGUGGAGGUUGUUUCCGUUGUUUCCUUUGUGUCCGUUGCUGUUCUUGACCUGUCACCUAAUUUUCUGCCUUAUGUUUCUGUCUCUGUGGAGGUUGUUUCCGUUGUUUCCGUUGUUUCCGUUGUUUCCGUUGUUUCCGUUGUUUCCGUUGUUGUUCUUGACCAGUCACCUAAUUUUCUGUCUUAUGUUUCUGUCUCUGUGGAGGUUGUUUACGUUGUGUCCGUUGUU